rnacentral:rRNA from 1 species
UACGUAGGGGGCAAGCGUUGUCCGGAAUUAUUGGGCGUAAAGCGCGUGUAGGCGGCUCGGUAAGUCUGCUGUGAAAGUCCAAGGCUCAACCUUGGAAAGCCGGUGGAUACUGUCGAGCUCGAGUCCGGAAGAGGCGAGUGGAAUUCCUGGUGUAGCGGUGAAAUGCGCAGAUAUCAGGAGGAACACCAAUGGCGAAGGCAGCACUCUGGGACGUGACUGACGCUGAGACGCGAAAGCGUGGGAGCAAACAGG